rnacentral:rRNA from 1 species
AUUGAACGCUGGCGGCAGGCCUAACACAUGCAAGUCGAACGAGUGGCGGACGUGUGAGUAAUGUCUGGGACACUGCCUGAUGGAGGGGGUUCACUACUGGAAACUGUUGCCAAUACCGCACUCCAUAGGAUGUGCCGAGAUGGGUUUAGCUUGUUGGUGGGGUAACGGCGCACCAAGGUGACGAUCCCUACCUGGUCUGAGAGGAGGACCAGCCAGACUGGAACUGAGACACGGUCCAGACUCCUACGGGAGGCAGCAGUGGGGAAUAUUGCACAAUGGGCGCAAGCCUGAUGCAGCCAUGCCGCGUGUGUGAAGAAGGCCUUCGGGUUGUAAAGUACUUUCAGCUGGGAGGCGUUACCCGCAGAAGAAGCACCGGCUAACUCCGUGCCAGCAGCCGCGGUAAUAC